AAAUCACAUAGAUCGACAUUCAAUUGAACAAGGUACCUUGAAUAACCAAAGAGAUGCAGCUUCAAAUCAAUUCCAUGUUGAUGUACAAGAUCCUAUCCCACAUGUUGAAAAUAAUUCUUUAGUUCCAGACCAAAAUGAUGAUAUGAACGAAAAAUCUAAUGAAGGAAAAGUAUGAUCUUCCUCCGGGGACAGAAAAUUGGA